GGAAAUACAAUGGAUUAGAGAAUGAGCAAAUCUGAGAAAUAUGUAGGUCACCGUCUUCCAAACAGCAUAAGAUCAGUCUAAAACCACAUUAAUCUUUUAGAAACAGUCCCGGCAGCUGUAUAUCAAGGUUUCAGUGAGAUACUUACAUGCAUUCUUCGUUGCAAAAAAAUGAUGCAAUAAAUGUUAUCUCAUUGUAUGUAGUGCAAUACGUUUAUAGUUGUACAAACAUUGUUAUAG